CACGUGAAUAACAUGCCCUUUAGAGGGGGAUAGCCCAGGGAAACUUGGAUUAAUACCCCAUAGUCUCGCAAGAGUAAAGGUGGCCGCAAGGCUGUCGCUAAAGGAUUGGUUCGCGUCCUAUCAGCUUGUUGGCGGGGUAACGGCCCACCAAGGCUACGACGGGUACCUGGUCUGAGAGGACGAUCAGGCACACUGGAACUGAGACACGGUCCAGACACCUACGGGUGGCAGCAGUCGAGAAUAAUUCACAAUGGGGGCAACCCUGAUGGUGCAACGCCGCGUGGAGGAUGAAGGUCUUCGGAUUGUAAACUCCUGUCAUCCGGGAGUAAGACCUGGCGAUGAAUAGUCGACAGGGUUGAUAGUACCGGAAGAGGAAGGGACGGCUAACUCCGUGCCAGCAGCCGCGGUAAUACGAAGGUCCCGAGCGUUGUUCGGAAUCACUGGGCGUAAAGGGAGCGUAGGCGGCGUGGUAAGUCAGACGUGAAAUCCCGGGGCUCAACCCCGGAACUGCGUCCGAUACUGCCGUGCUUAGAGGGUUGGAGAGGUAGCUGGAAUUCUUGGUGUAGCAGUGAAAUGCGUGGAUAUCAAGAGGAACACUCGUGGCGAAAGCGAGCUACUGGACAACACCUGACGCUGAGGCUCG
rnacentral:rRNA from 1 species